UGCCGCCCCCCGGCGCUGGCAGGAGGCGCUCCCGGGGCCGCCGCUGUCCCAGCCGGGAGCGAGGGGGGCUCGCUGCGGGGGGAGGCAGCGCUGUGGAAACGCCUUACAGUUGUCCGGAGCGCGAAAUCCGCUCCCGACGAAAUCUCUUGGGUUUGCGGCAUUAUCUUAAUUAAGAUAAUUGAUUCAUAUUGCACCUGCGAGAGUGCGGGGAAAAGAUGCCUCCCCAAAUAGCUUGGAGCUAUUGGAGAGAGGAAGCCGCGCUUAUAAUUGAGCGAGUGAUUUACUGCCCGGGUAGCCCGGGCUGCUCGGGCUCUCCUUGCGCUGCCAGGCUUCCCGUUCUCCCUCUCCAGAGAGGCACACACGCAAAACAAGGAGGUUAUCCUGAAUAAAAAACAGAGAAGGGAAAACGUCUCUGCCCGCUGUCCCUGUCGGUCUGUCCCUCCCCAGGGCACGGCACCGCGGGGCCGGAGCCCGUCGGGCUCGGGAAGGGCCGGCUCGGGUCUGCCCGCGGCGCUGCCCCGCUCCCCAGUUCCAAAGGCUGCGGGGACAGGAGGGCACGGGAGGGGAGGGCAGCCCCACCGCCCGGAUCACGCCGAGCCGGGGCCAGCCUGCCGCGGGAAUCGCCGCGGGAGAACCGCGCCCUGGAUGAGCCGCGCCGGUACCGGUUCGGCGCCACCGGCGUGAGACCGCUCCGCGCUUCGUGGCGUCUCUCUAGGACACAGUGUACAUCUGGGCUCCAAAACUGGCAACAGAGAAGAAAUGGAGCACCUGCUGGAAGUUCAUUUGUAUGUAUUACUGCUGUGGUGGAGAGAUGGAUGACCGUGGGGGCAGAGCUGUGCAGAUGAGUGGGAGGAGUGGGGGAGGCCGUGGAACAAGCCCUUCAUGUGGCUCGGCUCCACACUCGGUUCCCGCCGGUCGCGCCCACCAGGAGAUGGCACUGGAGAACCUGUCCUGCAGAGAGAAGGCAAAAAUGCCGCUUCACAAUCCGGCUCUGUGCUUGUGAACACGAAAUAAUCCGGAAGGUAUCUCUCCUCCGCAGUAUUUGCUUUUAGGAAGGACUUAAGGCUUUGGCUUUUUUUCAUUUUGUUCUCAAACAUGAUGAAGAAGAAACUAAAAGGAAGCCAACCACAGCACCCAGUGAAUGCCAUCUGGGUUUGCCUAGUGAAGCACAUUCUAUUUUCUCAAGUAAGUCCUACAACACUGAUAAGCUUUCAAAUAGAAGAUUUUAUCAGCAAAAAGGGUUUUUCUCAUAUAAUAACAAUUUAUAACACCCAUUUUCUGAAUGAACAAUCAGUUAAUUCAAUUUUGAAUAGAACUACAAUUGUGACUGAAAAAAAUGCACUGUAGCAACUUAAUGUGGGAACUUUUUUCAAACUUUAAUAAAAAAUGCAAAGGAUUUUCUAGUGGCAUGAACAUUUCCACCUUUUAAACACUUAUGUGGUACAUACUAAAUCUUUCUUUGGAUUCUUGAAGCAUUUUUCAGUCACUUCAUACUCCUGUCUCAAAAUGCAGAACCAUGCUUUCAGAUAGGUUCCUCCUAUGGAAUGACAGCUGAAGGGAUGUACAUCUUUCAGAUUUAGCAGCACAGAUAUGAGAAGAAAGUAGCCAUAUAUAAUAUUUUGGGGAGCAGCCUAGUUACUUAAGAAAAUGUAGAGAUUACAAGAUGGAAACUUGCUCACAAUCUCUUUCUCUCCAAUAGCUGUUACUUCUCGUGAAGAUUGAUGAAAAUGUCUUCAACACGAUCUAAAUGGCACUUAUGCCUCAGGGUUCACUUCGUGUCUUUUGAUGUGUCCCUGAUCAGGCUUUGUUUUGGGAGGUGUGAUGGUAUAGGACCAUUAACCGUUACCAGUAAGUGCUAAUGUUAAUUACAUUAAGCACAAUCCUCCAGUUGGUCCAUCUGUUACUCAUUUUUUAUGUGCUACCUAUUAUUGUUUGGGGUUUUCUCUGUGCUCCGGGAAGAUAUCUUCUAGCUUUCUUCUCGGCUUUAUUUAAAGUAUGUUAAUUUAUGUAUGCCUCGAUGAAAUACUUAAACGCAUUUCAAAUUUAGUUUUCAUUUUCUAGGGAUUUUUAAAAUAUUAUUUUUGCCUGUUGUUUUAGUAUUUAGUUGCGGCAUUGCACCGGAAUGUAUAGCUUAGUAAACCACUACGGCAUCUUGUAUUUCAUAUAGUGUGCGUCUUGAAAAUGAUCAGUGUCAUAUUUUUAGAUGAAUUUGGGCAGUUUUCCUCACA